AAAAUCUACAUUUCAUCUACUUAAAAAUUAAAAAAUGUGUCGAUGUGCUUUUCCGAUUGUUACAACUUGCUGUUAACUCUCAUCUCUUACCGGCAAUUGGAAUAGGUGAGGCGAAGAUCCACACUCUUUAAUUUGCCGACGAUAUCCUGAUCUUUUUCGACGGUUCAAGCAGAUCGGCAGCAAUAAUUAAGGUGAUUCUUGAUGCCUUCUCCUCAAGCUCGGGCCUCAAAAUCAAUUUCAACAAAAGCUCCCUCAUACUGAUCAACCUGUCGAGCGAACAGACCCGGCUUUUGACUAAUGUAUUUGCCUGCCCAACUCAAGAUUUCCCUAUAAAAUAUUUGGGUCUUCCGCUCUCUCCUAAACGGCUUCGAAAAUCUGAUUACUUAGCCUUAAUCGAGAAAAUUGAUAAUCGGCUUGCCGGUUGGAAAGAAAAUUUGCUAUCAAGGGGGGGUCGACUCAUUCUUAUCAAUUCGGUACUCUCUACUAUCCCUACCUAUUUUUGUUCAGCUUACCUGCUCCCCGCUUGGGUCCUUAAUUCCAUAGACAAAAUCCACCGCGGUUUUUUUUGGCAUGGGAAAACUAUUGCUAAUGGCUUUCACUGCUUAGUGAAUUGGGGCCAGGUGUGCCGCCCGAAAAGUAUGGGAGGGAUCGGGAUUAGAAAUCUGCGCUCCAUGAACUCCGCCCUUCUGAUGAAAGCAUUUUGGAAAUUCUACAUGUCCCAAUCUACACCCUGGGUCAGGCUGCUGAUGCAGAAGCAUUACAAACAUAGAUUACCUUCGAAUACGAACUCUAAACCGGGUAACAGCUGCCCAAUCUGGCGGGAUAUUCUCAAUCUGGCAGCGCCUUUUCACACUUCAGCCUCCUUCACCCUGGGCAAUGGCAAAGUGGUAUCUUUCUGGAAUUCCAGAUGGUACGGUGACUUCCUUCUAAAAAAUUGUCUUACUCACCUUUAUGCCGCUUCGAGCUCUAAACAGAUUUCAGUAUCAAACUGGAUGAGGCGCUUCGCAACACUCACCAAUCUUGGCUUUAGGUCACCUCUUUGUCCCAGGAUGCAAGAGGAACUAUCAAAGCUUUCGGAUUUGCGACAAACCUGGACGCUAUCGGAUCACAUGGACACGCCCACAUGGAGGUGGACUAACUCUGGACUAUUUUCGGUUCGGAGUGCCUACAACUUCCUAACGUACGACGGAAUUAAAGAUUCUAAUUUAUCGUUCAUUUGGAAUACCAAGAUCCCGGUCAGAAUCAAGAUCUUCCUUUGGUUAGCAGCGAGAAACAGAGUUCUCACUGCCGAGGUUCUACAGAGAAAGGGUUGGAACGGGCCUUCGAUAUGUGUGCUUUGCAACUUAAACAGCGAAUCUUUGAAUCAUAUUUUAUUCCAAUGUUCGUAUGCAAGACACUUGUGGAGUGGGCUGCCACACAGUAGUAUUACAGCAACGCACCUCACGAGCUCUCUAUCCGGAAACUUAACUCAAAGGUGGAAAUUAAUAAGACGCGCGGCAGCGGGAUCAGCCAAAACUGAAAUUGAUUUCUAUUUCGCAGCAGGAUGUUGGGAAGUGUGGAAUGAGAGGAAUAGAAGGAUUUUCGACAAUCGUUGUUGCCAAAGUGACAACCUCAGGAGAUAUGUCGUGAACUCGGUGGAACUUUGGAAAUCGCCGCUCCUGAGUUGACCAGGGCUCCUCUCUUGUUUUUUGUGCACUUCUUGUUUUGCUCUCUUCUUCUUUUAACCAUCGUUCAUCCGCAUUUGUUUUCUUUUACACCCCUCCUGGCUUACUAGACCUUCUCUGAGGUCUUUCCUGUAAAUAGGGUAUAUCCCUGUUUAAUCAAAAAAAUAAAAAUAAAAAAUGUUCAUAUCGGCCCCCGCCGUUAUUGUUCUGUCAGGAUUUCGUGUAAUAUAAAUUUAUUAUAUUCAAAAUACCCUUAUAGAUUCCUCUUUGUUGCCGCCUUACUCGUCUGCUGAGAGAGGGAGUUGUAGGAAAGGGAGGCGGUGAAGGAGGAGUUGGUGUAGGACUGAGUGUAGGAGGAUGCAUUGUAAGGUAGUUGGGAGGACGUAUUGAAGGGGGCAAAAAAGGGAGUAGCAGGGGAGCGGGGAGAUGGAGGAGGAGAUGAAGG
rnacentral:lncRNA from 1 species